UAAGUUCCUUGAAAAUAAAAAAGCAAUCAAGCAUUGCAUUUCAUGCAUCAUUUGCAUAAGCAGGUUUCUCUUUUGCCAGAUGUCUCAUUGGUGUUUCUUCUGUGCCUCAGCCAAACUGACUCAUCGGUACAAUACUCGCGCCAACCACUCCAGAAUUAUGGAACAUCUCAAGUAGGAGAAUAGAUAUUUGAAAGAGGAUAUCGCUCGCCUGACUACUAUGAUGGAGUCAGUUCUAUCUGCACAGAGCUAAU
rnacentral:lncRNA from 1 species